GAUCCGUUAGCUCAGUUGGUUCAGAGCGCUUGCUUCACACGCAAGAGGUCGAGAGUUCAAAUCUCCCACGGAUCA
rnacentral:tRNA from 2 species